GCCAGUGUGGCUAAGUGCAUAGAGCAUCGGCCUGCAGACCGAAGGGCCCUGGGUUCGAUUCCAGUCAAGGGCA
rfam:Myotis brandtii contig320972, whole genome shotgun sequence.